rnacentral:rRNA from 1 species
UAGCGGAGGGUGCAAGCGUUAUCCGGAUUCACUGGGUUUAAAGGGUGGCGUAGGUGGGUCUGUAAGUCCGUGGUGAAAUCUCCGAGCUUAACUGGGAGGUGCGCCGGAACUGGAGUGCUCGAGCGUGGGAGAGGAAAGCGGAAUUCCUGGUGUGAGCGGUGGAAAUGCGUAGAUAUCAGGAGGAACACCUGCGGUGUGAGACGGCUUUCUGGACCAUUGCUGACGCUGAGACACGAAAGCGUGGGGUAGCAAACAGG